CUUAGCCUAUUCACAGAAAUAGAAACCCUUUUUGUUGGGCACUGUGAAUAGGCUAAGUGCGAUCUUCUAUCUUGGUUUCUUCUUCAUUUUCAUUUUCACAAUUCAACAAAGAUUGAAACUUUUUUUUUUUCUCUCCCUUUUGUUUUGUUUUGUUGGGCACUGUCAGAUUAUAAGGAUUGUUUUGAUUCUGCACAAGAAGAAAGCUUAUACCCAUUUGCUCUAUAAUGUGAUUGACUCGCAAGCUCCCGCCUUUCAGGUCAGGAGAUGUUCCUCUGUGAUUUUGACCAUUGAUUUAUUCGUAUGAUCCUCCAACACUGGCACUCAAAGUCGGAUUCUUCUAGGAGCACCUCCCCUGUUUGACUCAAUGACUGGAUAUUGGAUGAUAUUGAUGUUUUGCGUAUGUCCUUUGAUCUUAAGGACAUACUAAUUGCCGACUAUUUGUUUAAUGAACAACUAUUGGUGAUCC